UAAAUUCUAUAAUUAAUUUUAAUUUCAUAAUUCAGUUAAUCAUCUAAUCUUUUAACUCACCUUGCGCUCCUUGGUAUUCCUUGGAGCAUGCCUGUUUGAGUAUCAUGAAAUCUUCAAAGUAAAUCUUUUGUUAACUCAAUUGGUUUCUACUUUGGUAUUGGAGGUCUUUGCAGCUUCACACCUGCUCCUCUUUGUUCAUUAGCUGGAUCUCAGUGUUAUGCUUGGUUCCACUCGGCGUGAUAAGUUAUCUAUCGCUGAGGACACUGUAAAAGGUGGCCAAGGUAAAUGCAGAUGAACCGCUUCUAAUAGUCCAUUGACUUGGACAAUAAUUUUAUGAUCUGAUCUCAAAUCAGGUAGGACUACCCGCUGAACUUAAGC
rnacentral:misc_RNA from 1 species